CCUACGGGAGGCUGCAGUGGGGAAUAUUGGACAAUGGGGGCAACCCUGAUCCAGCCAUGCCGCGUGUGUGAAGAAGGCCCUCGGGUUGUAAAGCACUUUCAGUGAGGAAGAACGCCUGGUGGUUAAUACCCAUCAGGAAAGACAUCACUCACAGAAGAAGCACCGGCUAACUCCGUGCCAGCAGCCGCGGUAAUACGGAGGGUGCGAGCGUUAAUCGGAAUUACUGGGCGUAAAGCGCGCGUAGGUGGCUUGAUAAGCCGGUUGUGAAAGCCCCGGGCUCAACCUGGGAACGGCAUCCGGAACUGUCAAGCUAGAGUGCAGGAGAGGAAGGUAGAAUUCCCGGUGUAGCGGUGAAAUGCGUAGAGAUCGGGAGGAAUACCAGUGGCGAAGGCGGCCUUCUGGACUGACACUGACACUGAGGUGCGAAAGCGUGGGUAGCAAACAGGAUUAGAUACCCAUGUAGUC
rnacentral:rRNA from 1 species